UACAGAGGGGGCAAGCGUUGUUCGGAAUUACUGGGCGUAAAGGGCGCGUAGGCGGCCUUCUAAGUCGAACGUGAAAUCCCCGGGCUCAACCCGGGAACUGCGUCCGAUACUGGAAGGCUUGAAUCCGGGAGAGGGAUGCGGAAUUCCAGGUGUAGCGGUGAAAUGCGUAGAUAUCGAGAGGAACACCUGCGGCGAAGGCGGGUUGCUGGGCGUGAUACUGACGCUGAGGCGCGAAAGCCAGGGGAGCGAACGGG
rnacentral:rRNA from 1 species